rnacentral:rRNA from 3 species
GGGACCUCAGGUCAGGCGG